GAAAGUAAGAAAGGGUACACGGGGGAUGCCUUGGCUCUCAGAGGCGAUGAAGGACGUGAUAAGCUGCGAUAAGCCGCGGGGAUCAGCAAAUAUGAAUUGAUCCGCGGAUUUCCGAAUGGGGAAACCUAAUUAGUUGAAGACUAAUUGCAUAAAUGCGCGAACCUGCUGAACUGAAACAUCUAAGUAAGCAGAGGAAGAGAAAACAACAGUGAUUUCCUGAGUAGUGGCGAGCGAAAGGGAAGAAGCCCAAACCUACUAUGUUACGGCAUAGUAGGGGUUAUAGGACCACAACAUGAUAACUAAACAGAACCGGAACGGGGUGGGAAACCCGGCCAUAGAGCAUGAGAGCUGCGUACGGGUAAUGAAUAGCAGGAUAGUGGUAUCCUGAGUACCGCGAGGUCGGAGACGCCUUGUGGGAAUUUGCCGGCACCAUCCGGUAAGGCUAAAUACUCCUGAGAGACCGAUAGUGAACCAGUACCGUGAGGGAAAGGUGAAAAGAACCCCGAACAGGGGAGUGAAAUAGAACCUGAAACCGUGUACUUACAAGCGGUCGGAGCCCCGAUUUAUCGGGGUGACGGCGUGCCUUUUGCAUAAUGAGCCUACGAGUUACUCUUUCCUGGCAAGGUUAAGUGUUUAAGACACGGAUCCGAAGCGAAAGCGAGUCUGAAUAGGGCGUAUAGUCAGGGGAGGUAGACGCGAAACCUUGUGAUCUACCCAUGGACAGGUUGAAGGUGCCGUAACAGGUACUGGAGGACCGAACCGAUAAACGUUGAAAAGUUUCCGGAUGAUCUGUGGGUAGGGGUGAAAGGCUAAUCAAACUGGGAAAUAGCUCGUACUCCCCGAAAUGUUUUUAGGAACAGCCUGGCGGUUGAGUUAAUAAGAGGUAGAGCUACUAAUUGGGUGCGGGGGAGUCAAAUCCUACCAAAUCCAGAUAAACUCCGAAUGCUUAUUAAUAUACGCUGGAGUGAGGCUCUGGGUGCUAAGGUCCAGGGCCGAGAGGGAAAGAACCCAGACCAUCAGCUAAGGUCCCCAAAUUACCACUAAGUUGAACUAACGAGGUCCGAUUGCACAGACAGCUAGGAUGUUGGCUUGGAAGCAGCCAUUCAUUUAAAGAGUGCGUAACAGCUCACUAGUCGAGCGAUCGGGCAUGGAUAAUAAACGGGCAUCAAGCGGUAUACCGAAGCUAUGGAUUUGCAGCAAUGCAUCUGGUAGGGGAGCAUUCUAUUAACCGGAGAAGCAGGAAGAUAACUGACUGUGGAGGGAAUAGAAAAGCAAAUGUAGGCAUAAGUAACGAUAAGGCGGGAGAGAAACCCGCCCACCGAAAGACUAAGGUUUCCUGAUCAACGCUAAUCGGAUCAGGGUUAGUCGGGGCCUAAGGUGUAGCCGAAGGGCGAAGCCGAUGGACAACUGGUUAAUAUUCCAGUACUUUUUAUAACUGCGAUGCGGUGACGGAGUAGUGACACUGACGCGAACUGACGGAAUAGUUCGUUAAAGGCCGUAGGUAUAGGAGACGUAGGAAAAUCCGCGACUCUUGCUGAAAGCUGAUAGUACCAUAAACCUUCGGGGGAGUGGAUAGUUCAGGUAAUCAGACUUCCAAGAAAACCCGCUAAGCUUCAGGUUAUAAAAACCCGUACCGUAAACCGACACAGGUAGUCGAGGAGAGAAUCCUAAGGUGCUCGAGUGAAUCAUGGCUAAGGAACUCGGCAAAAUGGCCCUGUAACUUCGGGAGAAGGGGCGCUUCAGCAAUGAAGCCGCAGUGAAAAGGCCCAGGCGACUGUUUAACAAAAACACAUGGCUAUGCAAAAUCGAAAGAUGAAGUAUAUGGCCUGACACCUGCCCGGUGCUGGAAGGUUAAGAGGGGAUGUUAGGAGCAAUUCGAAGCAUUGAAUCGAAGCCCCAGUAAACGGCGGCCGUAACUAUAACGGUCCUAAGGUAGCGAAAUUCCUUGUCGGGUAAGUUCCGACCUGCACGAAUGGUGUAACGAUCUGGGCGCUGUCUCAGCCAUGAGCUCGGUGAAAUUGUGGUAUCGGUGAAGACGCCGGUUACCCGCAACGGGACGGAAAGACCCCAUGCACCUUCACUACAACUUAACAUUGAAAUCGGCUACAGGAUGUGUAGGAUAGGUGGGAGACUGUGAUCUGGCUUCGCUAGGAGUCAGUUAGUCAACGUUGAAAUACCACCCUUUCUGUAUCUGGUUUCUAAUCCCGCAUUGCGGGAGACAUUGUUUGGCGGGUAGUUUGACUGGGGUGGUCGCCUCCAAAAAGGUAACGGAGGCUUUCAAAGGUAAGCUCAGUACGCUUGGUAACCGUACGGGGAGUGCAAUAGCAUAAGCUUGCUUGACUGUGAGACAGACAAGUCGAUCAGGGUCGAAAGACGGAUAUAGUGAUCCGGUGGUUCUGCAUGGAAGGGCCAUCGCUCAAAGGAUAAAAGGUACGCUGGGGAUAACAGGCUGAUCUCCCCCAAGAGCUCAUAUCGACGGGGAGGUUUGGCACCUCGAUGUCGGCUCGUCACAUCCUGGGGCUGGAG
rnacentral:rRNA from 1 species